GGGGGGGGGUCCCUUGCAUUGCAAGGUCGCACUCGCACCAUCCCCCACCAAAUUCGCCGCCGCGGCAUAGGGCUCUCCAUCCGUCGCCGACGAGCAGAGCUAGGGAGGAACCGAGGAAAGGAAGAAGAUGGGUGGCGGCAUGGAGGUGCACAAGAACCGGUGGAUCGAGGAGUGGAACGCCGGCCGCGAGAACCUCGAGUUCAACUUCCGCUGGACGCGCCGCAGCCUCGCCGUCGUCGGCCUCUUCGGCCUCGCCGUCCCCAUCCUCGUCUACAAGGGCAUCGUUCGCGAAUUCUUCACUACUUCCCUGGCUUAGCGUCUUAGUCAAAGCCCUGGACCUUCCUGAUGAUAGAAAAGCAAAUGCAAGAUGAGGAUGCAGGAAGACCGUUGAGGAAAUUCUUGUAAUAUGAAGAAUUAUGCUCACUUUGUUUCAAGAAAUAAGUGUUUUUAUCAGAUCUUGGAGCUUUCAACUUGCUUGAGAAACAUAAUUAUACUCAAUUCUCUGUAAGCACUUUAAGUAGUUGUGUGUUGCUCCAAGUGUUUCUUUGCGGAACCUAUGUACCUUCUUGGCUUCAUUAUGACUAACUAUGCCACCCGGGCAUGCUUUAUUUCCCCCCCAAGAGGACAGUAUGUAAUUGUGGUGUUGUGCUGGUGGGUUCUGGUUUUUCAGUAAGCUGGUGUACCCAUGCUUUAUUUUUCCCCCAAGAGGACAGUAUGUAAUUGUGGUGUUGUGCCGGUGGGUUCUGGUUUUUCAGUAAGCUGGUGCACCCAUGCUUUGGUAAAAAAUCAAAUAGCCUCA